GACGAACGCUGGCGGCGUGCUUAACACAUGCAAGUCGAACGGAAAGGCCCUACUUUUGUGGGGUUCUCGAGUGGCGAACGGGUGAGUAACACGUGAGUAACCUGCCCUUGACUUUGGGAUAACUUCACGUAACUGGGGCUACUACCGUAUAGGAUCUCCUGCUCCAUGGUGGGGGUUGGAUCGUUUCGGCUGUUGGGGUUGGACUCGCGGCUUAUCAGCUUGUUGGUGGGGUAGUGGCUUACCAAGGCUUUGACGGGUAGCCGGCAUGAGAGGGUGACCGGCCACAUUGGGACUGAGAUACGGCCCAGACUCGUACGGGAGGCAGCAGUGGGGAAUAUGGCACAGUGGGAGGAAGCGUGAUGAAGAAACGCCGCGUGCGGGAUGACGGCCUGCGGGUUGUAAACAGCUUUAGCCUGUGACGAAGCGGGAGUGACGGUAAUGGAUAAAGAAGCACCGGCUAACUACGUG
rnacentral:rRNA from 1 species